rfam:Seonamhaeicola sp. S2-3, complete genome.
AUGUUAUCAAGAAAGGUGGAGGGAUUAGACCCAAUGAAACCUUAGCAACCCUUUAAACUUAUUAAAGAAGGUGCUAAAUUCUACUUAAACUACCAAUUCAUUUAUUGGUGUUUGGAUAGAUAACUU